rnacentral:rRNA from 1 species
AUUGAACGCUGGCGGCAGGCUUAACACAUGCAAGUCGAGCGAGCGGCGGACGGGUGAGUAAUGUCUGGGAAACUGCCUGAUGGAGGGGGAUAACUACUGGAAACGGUAGCUAAUACCGCAUACCAUCAGAUGUGCCCAGAUGGGAUUAGCUAGUAGGUGGGGUAAUGGCUCACCUAGGCGACGAUCCCUAGCUGGUCUGAGAGGAUGACCGGACACACUGGAACUAAGACACGGGCCAGACGCCUACGGGAGGCAGCAGUAGGGAAUAUUGCACAAUGGGCACAAGCCUGAUGAAGCCAUGCCGCGUGUAUGAAGAAGGCCUUAGGGUUGUAAAGUACUUUCAGCGAGGAGGCGUUACCCGCAGAAGAAGCACCGGCUAACUCCGUGCCAGCAGCCGCGGUAAUAC